rnacentral:rRNA from 1 species
ACUCAAAGGAAUUGACGGGGGCCCGCACAAGCGGUGGAUGAUGUGGUUUAAUUCGAUGCAACGCGAAAAACCUUACCUACCCUUGACAUGCCAGGAAGGCCGCAGAAAUGCGGUUGUGCCCGAAAGGGAAUCUGGACACAGGUGCUGCAUGGCUGUCGUCAGCUCGUGUCGUGAGAUGUUGGGUUAAGUCCCGCAACGAGCGCAACCCUUGUCAUUAGUUGCUACAUUCAGUUGAGCACUCUAAUGAGACUGCCGGUGACAAACCGGAGGAAGGUGGGGAUGACGUCAAGUCCUCAUGGCCCUUAUGGGUAGGGCCACACACGUCAUACAAUGGCGCAUACAGAGGGGUGCCAACCCGCGAGGGGGAGCAAAUCCCAGAAAGUGCGUCGUAGUCCGGAUUGAAGUCUGCAACUCGACUUCAUGAAGUCGGAAUCGCUAGUAAUCGCGGAUCAGCAUGUCGCGGUGAAUACGUUCCCGGGCCUUGCACACACCGCCCGU